rnacentral:rRNA from 1 species
UGGGGAAUAUUGCACAAUGGGCGCAAGCCUGAUGCAGCCAUGCCGCGUGUGUGAAGAAGGCCUUCGGGUUGUAAAGCACUUUCAGCGAGGAGGAAGGUGGUGAGCUUAAUACGCUCAUCAAUUGACGUUACUCGCAGAAGAAGCACCGGCUAACUCCGUGCCAGCAGCCGCGGUAAUACGGAGGGUGCAAGCGUUAAUCGGAAUUACUGGGCGUAAAGCGCACGCAGGCGGUUUGUUAAGUCAGAUGUGAAAUCCCCCGGGCUCAACCUGGGAACUGCAUUUGAAACUGGCAAGCUAGAGUCUCGUAGAGGGGGGUAGAAUUCCAGGUGUAGCGGUGAAAUGCGUAGAGAUCUGGAGGAAUACCGGUGGCGAAGGCGGCCCCCUGGACGAAGACUGACGCUCAGGUGCGAAAGCGUGGGGCAGCAAACAGGAUUAGAUACCCUGGUAGUCCACGCUGUAAACGAUGUCGAUUUUGGAGGUUGUGCCCCUUGAGGCGUGGNUUCCGGAGCUAACGCGUUAAAUCGACCGCCUGGGGAGUACGGCC